GAUGAACGCUGGCGGCGUGCCUAAUACAUGCAAGUCGAACGAAACUUCUUUAUCACCGAGUGCUUGCACUCACCGAUAAAGAGUUGAGUGGCGAACGGGUGAGUAACACGUGGGCAACCUGCCCAAAAGAGGGGGAUAACACUUGGAAACAGGUGCUAAUACCGCAUAACCAUAGUUACCGCAUGGUAACUAUGUAAAAGGUGGCUAUACUACCGCUUUUGGAUGGGCCCGCGGCGCAUUAGCUAGUUGGUAGGGUAAAGGCUUACCAAGGCAAUGAUGCGUAGCCGAAUUGAGAGGUUGAUCGGCCACAUUGGGACUGAGACACGGCCCAAACUCCUACGGGAGGCAGCAGUAGGGAAUCUUCCACAAUGGGCGAAAGCCUGAUGGAGCAACGCCGCGUGGGUGAAGAAGGUCUUCGGAUCGUAAAACCCUGUUGUUAGAGAAGAAAGUGCGUGAGAGUAACUGUUCACGUUACGACGGUAUCUAACCAGAAAGCCACGGCUAACUACGUG
rnacentral:rRNA from 1 species